GGGCCCUUUUGGCCCCUAAAACAUAAAUAAUUUGCAAAAAAGAAUUUUAUGAUUUUAGUGACAUAUCAAACCUAAAUCUACUCAUUAUAAUGAAUCCAACAAUGUAUGCCGGGGUCAAAUCGCAAAACUAAAAAGUGAUUGGAGGCAUGUGUGAGUGAUUAUUUGUAAGGCUAACUUUAUCUGAUUUUUUUUAUAUGAGUAAUGAGUAUUUUUUAUGUGUAUUUUUUUUUCCAGACGAAUGUUUGUAGCAAAUUGAAAGGUUUCUCGCCUUUCAAUUUAGAGAUGCAUUCUUGCUACAUACUUAUGUCAGUUGUUUGGUAAUACUUUUGUGUUAUGCUGGAAGAUGGGAGAGAUAAAAAACGAAAAAUUGCUGAUUGUCUUUUCUCAAUUUGAUAGGGGAUUUCGAGCUAUUAUAUAAUUUAGCACAGUAGACUAUUAUAUUUCAUACUUUAUUUCAAUUUAUAAUAAACAUGCAGAUAAAACACAUAAUAAUUAUGUGUUUUAUCUGCAUGCAUAUUGUUACAUUUUUAAAUUGAAAUAAGCUACGAAAUAUAAUAGUCUACUGUCCUGAAUUAUAUAAUAGUUCAAUUAUUAAUUGAAUGCAUAUGGUUGAAACUUAAAAAAAUUUUGUUUAUGAAGUUUUACUAAGUUUAAUUUGCUUCCAACCAAACAACGUUUGUAUUAUUUUAGCAUCACUUGCAAAACUGAAAAAACACACAGAGCAUAAGAUUGAAAGCAUUUGCAUGUUACCAAAAAGUUUAAUUGGGCUUUUAUAGCGCACAAAUGUGUAAAAAACAUUAUAAAUUCAGAAGUUACCUACCAAAGAUUCUGGACUAGAGUAUUUAAUCAAUCAAUCAAAGUAGGACUACAUCAAUUGUUUAAACUAUAACCAAUAGAUCAUUUUGCUAGAUUUUUAAACGUUAUAUCAGUUGUUUAUAAUUUGUAAAUGGACAUUUGAACAAGUAUAUAUUUUAUCAUUUUAAUAUAUCAAAAGUUUUUAAUAAAAUAAAAUCUAUUUACUUAUUGCCUCAUAUAGUACUGAAAAAUUUAGUCUCAAUCAGGAUGAAUAUAUUAAAAAAUAUAUAUAUAUAUAUAUAUAAAAAGACGUGUUAUCGAUUGAAAGUUUAUUCUUUCUAUUUUUAAUUAAUUGAAUUGUAUUUUUCUAUUUUGUGUGAAAAAAUUAUAUAUUCUGUAGCUGUAGCUUUUUUGUUUUUGUCUUAAAUUGCAACACUUAUUUAGCAAAUAUAUUUAAUUGGAACACUUAUUUAGCAAAUAUAUUUAAUUGCAACACUUAUUUAGCAAAUAUAUUUACUUGCAACACUUAUUUAGCAAAUAUAUUUAAUUGCAACACUUAUUUAGCAAAUAUAUUUAAUUGCAACAUUUA